AGAAAGGCACCUGAAGAUGGCAAUUGGAAAGAAUUCCCCAGGAGUUAAAAUAACCAGCCCAACUGUUGUACUGAGGCAGAUUAUAUACUUGAACUGCCUAUGACUUUUUUCAAAAGUAAACUCCAUUGUAUGUUGUUGUGGAAACUGUUCAGCUUCCGAUGGGGCAGAGUGGUAAGGUGAGGAGGAAAACAAAUACGCCAUCCUCAUUUAAAGAAAAUGGACUUUGAAACCUGAAGAAUGGUCUUGUUCUCUCAACCUGUUGGCUACCCAAUGGUUUCCAGAAACUUGUACAAAAAUAAAUAGCUCAGGUGCAAAAAUAUUCACAUGCUGUCAGGCAUCUUUUAUCAAUCCGGUUUCCUUCUGACAUUAUAAAUGAUGUAUAACCAGCUCUGCUGAGAAGGUGGUAAGCAAGGUGAAGACCUAGUCCUAUUGAAGUCAAUGGCAAACUCCCACUGAGUUCAAGAGGGCCAGGAUUCUAUCCCAGUAUGUAUUAUAACACUACGACUGCAAAAUAAAGCUCUUGUGAUUGAAAUGUAUAAGAAAUAGAAAUAUGAGGAUGUGUGUGAAGGAACAGUAUACUUACAAACCUUACUACUGAAUUAUGAUCUUAAUUUCAGGCUUCUUAAACACUAUUCAUUCUCCUCCCACCAAAAUAAUGGUCACAAAAAUGCAAUGUAGAAUUAUUGUAUGAAAAUUGCCUUCUGAAUGUACAUAAGCAUGUCAUAAUUCAGAACUGUCGACUACCCUGCAGCUGGUCAAAACUUACUUUUUUCAGUUACAAAAUUAACGUGCCUGCAGUUAGUAAGGCAAAACAAAAAAACGUCCUCCAGACAAAGGUUUCUUUUAGGUGACAGGGUCCUGAUUCAAAGCCCAGUGAAGCCAACGGAAAGAUUCCCAUUUGACUCCAGUAGGCUUUGGAUCAGGCCCUGAAUGCAAAGACUCAUUCAAAUUAAAGUUUAAAAUUAUAGAUAUGAGCAAUAAAAAAAAAGUCCAAUAAAAAUGUCUUUUACAUGAUCCCGUCUGUCAGAAGGCUCCUACCCAGUUUAGAAGUGGCAUUUCUGAUUCAUCUCUGGAUCUUGGAUCAUCUGACAACUGAAAAAUAAGAAAAGUUUAAAGUGAGUUCUGAUUCCCCUUCGGGCUUUUCUGUUACUGGCUGCAGUAGGGCUGAUGUGAGCUGGAAUUGUGACAUGCCCUUGUAGCUGGAGUGACCUCUGGGCUAUGGCAUGGAGGUCUAGAUCACCUUUUCUUUUGCAGUGCAAUCUCGCAAUGUCCCUUAUUGCAUUUCCUCUUUUUCUUCACCUAUAUCUAAGGAUGUGAUUUGGUCACAGAGGUCAUGGGUUCCAUGACUUCGACAGAUAGGCGACUUCUUCGGCUUCAACUUCAGCACCA